rnacentral:rRNA from 1 species
GACAGAGGUCCCGAGCGUUAGGCGGAAUCACUGGGCUUAAAGCGUGUGUAGGCGGAGUGCUAAGUACCUUGUGAAAUCCCACGGCUCAACCGUGGAACUGCUGGAUAUACUGCUUGUCUUGAGGCACUUAGGGGCAGCUGGAACAAAUGGUGGAGCGGUGAAAUGCGUAGAUAUCAUUUGGAACGCCAAAGGCGAAAGCAGGCUGCUGGGAGUGAUCUGACACUGAGACGCGAAAGCCAGGGGAGCAAACGGG